rnacentral:siRNA from 1 species
UCCUACAUGUGAUGAGAUGUGCA